ensembl:lincRNA
AUAAAAGAGAGAGAAAGCCGCUGUCUCUCCCAUUGAUUGCUUCAAAUACACAUUCCACGGAAUGUGGAAUGGCUUCGGGUGUCAGUGAAGCUCUGAAGAGACAGUGAGAAGACUUUCAGGUGAAGGUUUCCAUUCAAAUGGGAGAAGGGAUGCCCUGUGCUUCAACAAGACAGAGGAAGCCGUCAGUGCGGACAGCGGAGACCUGUGGCUUCAGGAGGGGAAAGGCUGUGACAUCAUCCUGCAAAAGAAAAUCCUGUAAAGAACAAGGUCGAAAAAAGAUAACACCUUCUUUUGGGAAGGUGGGAGAACAGAGAGAAGAGAAGGCAGACGAAGAUGAGAGAUGCCACUGGCAAGAAGGAAGGUCAAAACAAGGGAAAUGCCGGAGAGAAGCAAGAGGGAAGAGAGAGAGCCAGGCCAGGAAGCCAACAUCCUCCCGCUAGACUCGGUGUCGGUUUUGUUCCACAGCAAAGCCAGUGGGGGGCGCUCCCGAUCCCAUUUUUCAGUUUAGGAAACAGCGGCAAGAUGAAGCGUCUGGUCCAUUCCCAUGCAGUCUGCAACCAAAUAAAGAUUUAGUCUCAGGUGGACCUCAUUUUGGAUCUAACCUCUUCCCAAGAGAAUGCAAACCUGUGUUUCAUUUUGAUUAAUUCUCACAAUACCUUUUAAAGCAAAGAGCCCAUGUGCCACUCCUUGACCUAAAAGAGGGGCUCCUUUGCACUUUAGCCCUCAGAUCUCCCAAAGAAAUACCACGAGUAUUAUAUCUCUGCUAACUGAAGCCAUUCAUCUGUUUUCCCAACAAUAUCAAGAUUCUUUACUCUUUGAGAGGAAGGAUAAAGGCGAGGGAGAAUGAUGGUGGGAAUAAAACCG